GAGUCUUAAUUGGGCGUUAAGUUGCAGGGUAUAGACCCGAAACCCGGUGAUCUAGCCAUGGGCAGGUUGAAGGUUGGGUAACACUAACUGGAGGACCGAACCGACUAAUGUUGAAAAAUUAGCGGAUGACCUGUGGCUGGGGGUGAAAGGCCAAUCAAACCGGGAGAUAGCUGGUUCUCCCCGAAAGCUAUUUAGGUAGCGCCUCGUGAAUUCAUCUCCGGGGGUAGAGCACUGUUUCGGCUAGGGGGCCAUCCCGGCUUACCAACCCGAUGCAAACUGCGAAUACCGGAGAAUGUUAUCACGGGAGACACACGGCGGGUGCUAACGUCCGUCGUGAAGAGGGAAACAACCCAGACCGCCAGCUAAGGUCCCAAAGUCAUGGUUAAGUGGGAAACGAUGUGGGAAGGCCCAGACAGCCAGGAUGUUGGCUUAGAAGCAGCCAUCAUUUAAAGAAAGCGUAAUAGCUCACUGGUCGAGUCGGCCUGCGCGGAAGAUGUAACGGGGCUAAACCAUGCACCGAAGCUGCGGCAGCGACACUGUGUGUUGU
rnacentral:rRNA from 1 species